UGGACAGCAGAGAAAAAAAAGACAAUGAAAGGCUCCUGGGUCAAGAUAAGGACAGGGAGAGAUCAAUCACCAGUUACCAUCACAGUCAAAACAGAUUCAACCUGGGGA